rnacentral:rRNA from 1 species
UACGUAGGGGGCUAGCGUUGUCCGGAAUCAUUGGGCGUAAAGCGCGUGUAGGCGGUCCGAUAAGUCCGCUGUGAAAGUCGAGGGCUCAACCCUCGAAUGCCGGUGGAUACUGUCGGGCUUGAGUACGGGAGAGGCGAGUGGAAUUCCGGGUGUAGUGGUGAAAUGCGUAGAGAUCCGGAGGAACACCAGUGGCGAAGGCGGCAUUCUGGACCGACAUUGACGCUGAGGAGCGAAAGCCAGGGGAGCAAACGGG